CGUUAGGAAGCUAACAGGGUUUAGCACUAGCCUUUUAAGCUAACUAUGGUGGCUCCCGACCACCCCUAGCGA
rnacentral:tRNA from 1 species